rnacentral:lncRNA from 1 species
UUUUUAUAAUGUGACCAUUAUAAGUUUUCAAACACUUUGAUAGCUAUCAAUUUGAAUAUUUGUAAUACUCUAAAAAUAUUUAUCUUUCUGAUUUGUCAUCGAUAGAAGCCAUUGACUUAUCAGUUAUUAUGCCAAUGAUUAGUAAAAAAUCUUCAUACAGAAGCGAAUUCAUUUUUUUUUACUAUACGUAAGUAUUGAUAAAAUUAGAAAAACAAAUUAAAUAUUAAUUUCUUGCAACAAAUGCUUUUACCAUAUUUUUUUCAAUUAGCCAAUUCAGCAAGUAAAAAUUGUAAGAGCAAGAAAGAUAACCUGCGUAACUUUAUAUAGCUUUCACUGUACUUUAAACUGAGUCUUAAAAAAAAUAAAUAAAUAAUAGUUCAA